GGUGCUGCAUGGCUGUCGUCAGCUCGUGUCGUGAGAUGUUGGUUAAGUCCCGCAACGAGCGCAACCCUUAUCCCCAGUUGCCAUCAGGUAAAGCUGGGAACGUCUGGGGAGACUGCCGGUGAUAAACCGGAGGAAGGCGGGGAUGACGUCAAGUCCUCAUGGCCCUUACAUCCCGGGCUACACACGUGCUACAAUGGCAGGUACAGAGGGCUGCGAAGCCGCGAAGUGGAGCGAAUCCCAGAAAACCUGUCUCAGUCCGGAUUGAAGUCUGCAACUCGACUUCAUGAAGGCGGAAUCGCUAGUAACCGCGAAUCAGCAGGUCGCGGUGAAUACGUUCCCGGGCCUU
rnacentral:rRNA from 1 species